rnacentral:lncRNA from 1 species
UCCAUCACAAAAUAGUAUAAAAGCUAAUCAGAGAUGCUUUUCCCUUUUAGCCACCAAGAAUACCUGGUUCAGAUGUAGCUGGAGGACAAGUCUUGAUGCCACUGUAAAGCAUCUCAUGAUCAUGCCCUGCCAGUACCCUGGUGCCAGCCAAGCAGUAUAAAGUCCUUUUCUGUGCUCCAUCUGAAGAGAACAUCUCUGAACAGCUACCUCCUUGCUCGGCUACCUGAGCAGAGAAAGCCCCAUCUGUUGAUGCACUGGGAUUUUUUUUCUUUUUUUUUCCUGGGAAUCACAUUUGUGAGCUUUGUGGGAGGUUUGGAGUCUACUGCUCUCCCUCCAUACACUUACUGUUCGCUGCAAUUCCUGGGAGCGCUGUCCCUUAGCAGAGUGUUAAAGUCAAGGUGGGUUGUGAAGACAUGGAUGGAGGAAGCUGCGUCUUUCAAGUGGGAUCAUGUGCCUUGCCUUCUUGUGCAGCCCUUUGCUUCAUACCAGACUGAAAUCCUGCCUGCUGGCUGGUGGCCGCUGCAUGUAAAGAGUGUGCUGCUUUCAAGUUCUUUCUGAGCAAUGGACUUAUACCAGUGUUUGCUGCUAACUCCAGCCAGCCCUGUAGCCUUCAAGGUCACACAAAGUCAAGCUUAGCUGCAUGGCUAUUUGAUAUCCCCUAAAAUAAGUAGGUCAGAUGAGGCCUAUCACUUGUACUUAUUUUCCUCACUCUCCAAACAGGCACAACAGAAUCUGGAGUAUGUGACAAUCACACAGCAAGUGGGGGCAACUAUUGUUGUAAAAUUUGGAGCUGAGGGCUGCAAUCUGAGCAGAGAUGACACAACCGUGAAGCAGCAGGGAUUGAUGUUAGUGUAAAUUAAGCUCAUAAGACACUGAGAGCUAUGUGGAAUGUUUAGGUGAAGUUUACCGUAGAACACAUUUUAUUUCUGGUGCUAUAGAGAAAUCUUUACUCCAGCAGGACUCUGGUCUGGCCCUCUGACUGUUUCUGACCUCCUUCUGGGAUUUAAUUGGCUUAUGUUGCAGGGUGGGAUGCAAGGCCAUUUAACUGAACAGGCUCAGCCCAUAGCUGAGGAAUCUGGUCAAUGAAUAGCGAAUGGCUGAGAGGAAUUCUCUCCUGGAAUUAGUGCUAAUAACUGGCCCAGUGUGCCGGUGAGGACCUAUUGUGCUAAUUUCAUCACAUCAUUCACAAGCCGGGGUGUGUCUAUGAAAUUAAUGGAAAUGUAAUAUUUCUCUGACAACUUAAGCUGACUUUUGGCUUGCCUGACAAAACUGUCAGCCAAAGGUCCAGAUUUGGACACCUCAUCUGGCAACAGGUGCACCUAGAGACAGCAAGACUGGGGCAAAGGAUGUUGCUAAGAGCUUAGAUCUGCCCUAGUGUCUGACAAUGUUUCAGCCUCCUCGCUUGUAAGGAGGCCUGUGCUGAGGAGCAGCCAGGAGCAAGCAAGCCUAGUAGGAAUUUAGUGCUGGGUUUCUGAGGCCUGUGCCUGGGAAGGCUGCUUAAUGCUGAGAGUAAAUGGCUCACCAGUGAUGCAGACCAAAGGCUGAAAAAGUUCACAGC